rnacentral:rRNA from 1 species
UUAUCAAAAACAUGGUUUCUUGUAAUUAUUUAGGAGAUCUGACCUGCCCACUGAAAAUAUUUUGAAGGGCCGCAGUAUUUUGACUGUGCAAAGGUAGCAUAAUCAUUAGUCUUUUAAUUGAAGGCUGGUAUGAAUGGUUGGAUGAGGUAAAUUCUGUUUUAUGUUAAUUGAUGUUGAAUUUAGAUUUUAAGUAAAAAUACUUAAAUGUUAUUAAGGGACGAGAAGACCCUAUAGAGUUUAAUAAAUGUAAUAAUUAAUUGAGUUAAAGUUUAAUUUUUGGUUUUUAUGUAAUUUAUUUAAUUGGGGUGAUUGGAAGAUAAAAUAAACUCUUCUUUAUAUUUAAUAAAUUAAUUAGUUGUAUGAUCCAUAUUUAAUGAUUAAAAGAUUAAAUUACCUUAGGGAUAACAGCAUAAUUCUUUUUAAGAGUUCAUAUCGAAAAAAGAGAUUGUGACCUCGAUGUUGGAUUAAGAUUAGUUAUGGGUGCAGAUGUUCAAUAACUAGGUCUGUUCGACCUUGAAAAUCUUACAUGAUCUGAGU